UGUACCAAUAAGUGCUGUGACGCGGCCACCUGUAAGUUGACCUGGGGAUCGGCCUGCGCUCAGGGAGGCUGCUGCAAGGACUGCAAGAUCAGUGUGUCAGGGACACCGUGUAGGGGAUCUGUCAACACGUGUGACCUCCCAGAAUACUGCAAGGCUCAGCAUCCUACUGUCCGUCUGACUUCUAUUCAUGGAUGGGCUUCUCUGUGAGAACGGCCGGCGUACUGUUACGAGGGCCGCUGCAGACCUACGACUACCAAUGCAAACAUCUUUUUGAAACAGGUGCAAGCAAGGCAGCAGACAUCUGCUUUCAGACGGCUAAUCUAAAGGGGAACGUUUGGGAACUGUGGAAUGACUCGUCGGGGAGCUAGUGAAAUGUAGUUUGGCUAAUGCCAUGUGUGGGAAGGUACAGUGCACUAACGUUAACACCAACAACCCUCCUCCUGGAGGCUCCGUCAGUAACCAGAUCAUCGAUGGCUCUUCAUGUGUCAACGCAGACUUUAACCUGGGCUCUGAUGUUCUGGACCCUGCCUAGUCAACCAGGGCAGCCCCUGCUCCAAGGGGAAGGCCUGUCUUGACUUCCAGUGUGUGAAUGCCUCAGCUCUACUUCCUGUUGACCUCCACUGUGAUGCCAACAGCACAUGUAACAGCCGGGGGUAAGAGAUCUCGUCCUCUAGACGGGGUUGGAUACAUCACAUGUAACAGCCGGGGUAAGAGGAGG